AUUCUUCUGGACAAUGAGUCCCAUCAUCUCUCCACCAUGCACCUUGUGACUCCCUCCUCUGCUGACAACAGAUAACCACCUUUAACUCCUGUUUAGGUGGUCUUCUAUACGGACAUGCUUGACACUUGGUGCCAAAAUCUGGGCCAGGGGGACUCCUUCGUGAGACCGGCCCCCUGUCCUGGCCCUCAUUCCGUGAAGAGAUCCACCUGCGACCUCGGGUCCUCAGACCAGCCCAAGGAACAUCUCACCAAUUUCAAAUCGGCCCCUUCUAGGGUCCCUGGAGCUCUGGCUCAAAGCUCUCUGGCUGACUCCUUCCCAGAUCUCCUCGGCUUAGUGGCUGAAGACUGAUGCUGCCCGAUCGCCUCAGAAGCCCCUUGGACCAUCACAGAUGCCGAGCUUCGGGUAACUCUUACGGUGGAGGAUUCCCAGCCAUAUGAAGACACCCUAGCUGGACGAUCAGUCCUUGUCAAAAGUCUGACCCCUCAAACUCUACAGCCUCAAUGGACCAGACCCUACCCGGUCAUUUAUAGCACACCAACUGCCGUCCAUCUGCAGGACCCUCUCCAUUGGGUUCACCAUUCCAGAAUAAAGCCAUGCCCAUCAGACAGCCAGCUUGAUCUCUCCUCUUCCUCCUGGAAGCCACAAGAUUAGGCCGAGAGCCGAUCAGACAAACAACCUACAACCCUUAAGCUCCUGGCAGCGCCCAGCCAAGGCCAUGCUUCCUUGCAACACUCCUUCCAAAUGGCCAUCCCAGCAUGCUUCCAAGCAGGCUUCAUCCGUUCCUCUGGACCCUCAUCUCUUAAGACCUGCCGCCUAUAAAAAGGAUUAUAUCUUGAGACCCUAUCCUCUAAAAUUUUUUCCACACCCAAAA
rnacentral:lncRNA from 1 species